rnacentral:lncRNA from 1 species
GUGUAUUUUUCUCCUUAGGUUGUAUUAGUUUUUGGUUUUAUAUUGUUAGAGUGAACAAUGGAAAUUAACAAGGCUACUGACGCUUCUGAUGAAAUGGGAAAUACACAAAUUGUAUAAAGGUGUAACCUUAAGUUACAAAUAUGUAAUGUAGAUACACGUUACAUCGUUAUGAUCAUCUAGAUAGAUAUGGAUCUCGAUCUGUGGCUUAAACCACAUAUGUUGGUAUAGUGGGUUCGUGGGGGCUUGUUGGUGGUUCUAUAAUGAAGGGAUGGCGUGGUUCACGUGAGCCCCUCACUCAGAUUGAAGCUGGAGCAAAAAAGAUGCAACAACCAUGCUUAAAUGUUUGUGGGUCUUUGAAUCUAUGUGCUUGAGUGCCAAUGGAGAAGCAUAGGUUACAAUAGAAGAAGUAAACUAAAUUACAAAGGAGCGGUAAAAGAGCAAUCAAGGUACAAGUUUUAGAGAGAGUCUUAUAUCCGAAGUGUGUUUUAGCUUCUGUAUGCCUUGGUAUUUAUAGGCAGGCAAAGGCAUUUCCUUGUUCUUAGACGGACCCGUAACUUUUCCAGGAAGGGAAGUGUGGCAGAGUCCUUUCCCUUUCGUUAGAACUCUGUUCUUCUCUUCCAUACUACUUCCGGUAAUCCCUUGACCUUCUACCUGCUGAGAACGACUCUUCUAGGAUUGUCUCCUUGUGUAUUAUUAAUUGGCUUUGUUUUUAACCUUUUGUCCUAAGUCUUUAAGUCAAAUGGUUUGUCUAGAUCUUUGUGCUUAGCAUCUAUUGUCUUGCCUAAGGGAGGGAUGUGUCUUCCUUAUUCGUUUAUGGAGAGGUUCUACCUUGUAGGCUUUAUACUUACCGCCUUGCUGACUAGGAGAUGUCUUCUCUUUGUCUGAUGUCGAGGAAGGUUUUGGCCUACCCCGUCAUCAUAUAA